rnacentral:rRNA from 1 species
UCACACCUGCCUCAGGGUCGGAA